rnacentral:rRNA from 1 species
GACGAACGCUGGCGGCGUGCUUAACACAUGCAAGUCGAGCGGUAAGGCCCUUUCGGGGGUACACGAGCGGCGAACGGGUGAGUAACACGUGGGUGACCUGCCUUUAGCUCUGGGAUAAGCCUGGGAGACUGGGUCUAAUACCGGAUAUGACCCUAUGGCGCAUGUUGUGGGGUGGAAAGCCUUGUGCGGCUAGGGAUGGGCCCGCGGCCUAUCAGCUUGUUGGUGGGGUGAUGGCCACCAAGGCGACGACGGGUAGCCGGCCUGAGAGGGCGACCGGCCACACUGGGACUGAGACACGGCCCAGACUCCUACGGGAGGCAGCAGUGGGGAAUCUUGCGCAAUGGGCGAAAGCCUGACGCAGCGACGCCGCGUGAGGGAUGACGGCCU